GCAAGUCGAACGGUAACAUAAUCAGCUUGCUGAUUGAUGACGAGUGGCGCACGGGUGCGUAACGCGUAUGCAACCUACCUUUAACUAGAGAAUAGCCCGAAGAAAUUCGGAUUAAUACUCCAUAAUAUAUGUCUUUCGCAUGUUAGACAUAUUAAAGCUUUUGCGGUUAAAGAUGGGCAUGCGUAACAUUAGCUUGUUGGUGAGGUAACGGCUCACCAAGGCUACGAUGUUUAGGGGGCCUGAGAGGGUUAUC
rnacentral:rRNA from 1 species